UUUUUUUUUUUUACUUUUUUUUUUAGGUUUUUUUAAUUUUUUUUUUAUUAGAGCCAUUAACCCUUUCCUUCCCCACUAUUUUUGCUGCAAUUGUUACCAUGCAGCGGUAUACGGCUGAGGAGGCAUGUUCCAAAUGUGGCCCUUUUGGCCCCAAACAAUCUGACAAACCCAUGCAUGUGGGGUAUCAAUGUACUCAGGAGAUCAAAAACAAUUACUAUCACAAACUUUGACAAGGGUUGGUGGUAGGAUUAGUGCAUGGAAAGGGUUAAACUAUCAGCAUCUAAAAUACCCUGGGGUGUCUAGUUUUCAAAAA